GUGUGUGUGCUUUCUCCUGUUUCGGUUUUAGUUCAGUAGCUGAAAGUUUAUGUACAGUCAAAUUUAAUUGACUAAUUGGAGGGUUCAUAUAUCUGUAUGAAAAUAAGCUAAUACAAAUGCAAAAUUGUUGAAUGCAUUAAUCUUCGUUCAGUGCGUGACCCAUAGUUAAUGCACAUUCUUGCAUUAGAAAGAAAAUGGAUAACCGUUUUGAAAUGCCGACACUUCCUAGAACUUCUCUUUUCAUAAGAAAAUAAACUUCGUAGCGGGUCUCUGCGGUAGCACUGACCUUUGGCAACCUUCGUGUCGUGCCUCCAAGGCAGGCCAUGAGUGAUGGCUGCCGUGAUGCCGGCCUUGCAAAAAAGGGCUUUGUUGACUGGCUAUAGUUUGUUUUUGUUGUUUACAUGUCAGUUUUUAACCAUUUAACCAUUUAACAUGUCUUUAGCAGGUCUCUGCGCCAUUUGGCCAUUUGGUCUUUCUCCUGUCGCCAGCGCUUCUUCUUCUCGUCUGUCCUGCUGCUAACCCAACAUGCUUCUGCUUGCUGCCUCGGGUUGUACGAUCUCUUCUGUCGCUGCGUCGUUCGACUCAUCAAGGACAACGGUGAGAAGGGGCUCUUGAGGCGGCUGCACUCGGUCCCCCCCCUGCAGCCACACACCACAUCGUCCGACCAUGUUGGUGAAAUUUGCAGAACUGACGGCUUCGCAGUAAGACUAUGGAUGGCUGCUAGGUUUUGGUAAUGGUGAGGACAGGUGCUGCCGAAGAUAAUUCGAGGUUUCUCGGAAAAUCCAGGGGACAAUGUCAUAGUGCUGACAUUGGGGACGAGUUUUGAUACUUCGGGAGAAGCCUAUGACUUUUACAACCUGUGCUUUUGGGAUAAGCGAUUCGGCAUUAGUAGGAAGACUGAAAGACAGUUAAUGGGAAAAUUAUUGGUGUGAUUGAAUAAGUAGUUUCAUGGUUCUGAUGUCUGAUGUAUGAUUAGAGCAUUUUCUCUUAUGGUGUACUGAAUUAUUAAAGAUUGUGUGUGAAUUGUUAAGAUGCAAUUUUUCUAUGUAUGUGUGGAUCCACGGCGGUCCAGACUGUACUACUGUAGUAGUUUAUACUUUCUGAA